UAUACAAAAUCUUAACCAAGAGUGUAGAGAGUUAGAAUAGUUUUGGGAGAAAAUAUGAUGAAAAGUAAAAGAGUUGCAAUAUUGAUGGUGAUUAUGUUGGGUUUUGUGCAAAUUCUAAGUAUUGAGGCAGAACUGCCUUGUGCUGCACAAUGUGCUUUAGAAUGUUUAGGUUCAGAAGACCCUUAUUCUAUUUGUUUGGCAACUUGUCUUGAAAGUUGCGAUAAAGUGUCUACCACUCACUACAAUUGUAUUACAAAAUGUGGAGUGAACAAGACUAUCACUGUUACUAUUGAUGAUCGUGGUCAUGUGACUGAUGUGGCUGAUUCCUGUUUGCAAAAUUGUCCCAGAUUGGAAGAGUAAUUAAUUGCUUAAUUGUAACAACAUUCCAGAGCACAAUUAGACCUUUUAUUUAUACAUGUUUGUAAUAAAAAACUUUGAAAAAUAAAUUUUAUAAUAACUUGUGCUCUA